rnacentral:rRNA from 1 species
UACAGAGGGUGCAAGCGUUGUUCGGAAUUAUUGGGCGUAAAGGGCGCGUAGGCGGUGCGGUAAGUCUGUAGUGAAAUCUCUGGGCUCAACUCAGAGUCUGCUGCAGAAACUGCCGUGCUUGAGUGUGGGAGAGGUGAGUGGAAUUCCGGGUGUAGUGGUGAAAUGCGUAGAGAUCCGGAGGAACACCAGUGGCGAAGGCGACACGCUGGGCCGUACCUGACACUGAGGCGCGAUAGCAUGGGGAGCAAACAGG